rnacentral:lncRNA from 1 species
UGGAUAUCACAACAAAACAACAUAUCUAAAAUAUACCAUAAAAUAUCUAAUAUGCACCAAGACAAACCCACAUCAAUCCUUAUAGCAAGUCUUAUGGAUAUCACAACAAACCUACUAUGGUUUUUGAUAAGAUAUUGACUAGGCAUGAAGGAAGGCAUAUGUAGUGUUCAAAAUACUGAGCUACCAUCAUUCAAGAUUCAAACUAAUCCAAUUGGCUAGGAAAGUGUUAAGAUUGGUGGGGGUCCGCCCGUUGUUUUUCUUAGACACCAAUAAAAUUGGCCCGGCC